GAGAAGAUUUCAUAUGUGAAAAAGUAAAACAAAUAACAUUGUAAACGUUUGUUUUCAAACAAUUCUUCGUGUUUUUUGAGGCGAAACAUUCUCUUAUUUGCGCUGAUAUUUCUGAGUAGACAAUAGAAUUCUGUUGCUUUUCCUAUUGAAAUUUAAAGUUCGCAAAUUUUGUAUAUAUUUGCAUUACGUGCGGGAAAAAUAACCAUUUUUGAGCCGAAAGUGGUUAUUUUUACCGCGCGUAAUACAAAUAUAUAUACCGGAAAAAUUUGCGAACUUCACAGGGCUAUA